GUUAUACCUGCAGGUAAAGACAAAACAACAAUGGUAGAUGUAUUUGCCGUUGUCGGAGACUGAGGUACUGGAGAAGGAGACCUCAUUGCUACCAGGGAAUGAUCUGCAGGAGAAGCUGACGUAGCUGCUACUGGAGAAGAUGGCCUGGAAGCUGACGGAGACUGAGCAACUAGAGAAGGCACUCUCACAAUAAUUGCAGUUGCAUCAUUCAUCUCACAACAAUUCGCUAAAAUUUAUGGUAAUCCAUGGAAGAAGCAUGGAAUGUUUAGGCUUACCUCUGAAAAUUGCUCGUGGGCCAAUGAUCUUGAGUGCCCAAGGUGAAACCAAAGCUCCUUAGCCAUGUGUGGUGCAAAAGAAGAAAGCAACAGAACAAAGGAUUCAAUAAACUGACUUUGGUUGGGUGUCCCACCGUAAGAAGAAAGCAUUAUAAGAGAAGUAAAAGAAACACGUUUACUAGAGUACAGAUAUUGUGGCCAAUGCCAUGUUAAACUGAUCUUGUCAUCCAUUCUUUUACAGUUCAAUUUGAAUAUUCAAGGCAUCCUAUUGGGUUUUACUAACAUCAGGUUUAUAAAUUGCAAAAGGUUAUGUGCGAAUUUAGCAAGUGCUAAGCAGAAAAUAAAGAAGUACAUGCAUAAAAGUUCUUAAGCACAUUUUAAGCCUUUACUGCACGAAAGCACAUAUAUAAGCUUGUUUGGAUUUGAAUAAUUGCAGUACAGACAUGAAAGAUCUAUGUACUAGAAUUGCCUUGUAAGGGGAGAUUGGAAUAUCUAUUAUCCUAAGAGUGCGGUGAUUGUUUUGGUGAUUAAUGACAACCCAUUGUUGGAACUAACUAUUUUCAUGAGUUGGUGAGAUUAGGUUAAGUUCCGGCAUCAAGUUAAAAGAUUGAAGCUAGAAGAUGGACAUUAUACCUUGAUGAGGAGCAAGUGAAGACAUUGAUGAUGCGGGGUAUGAAAUGGCUAUCUAUGGCAAACCGGUGAAGAGAAAGCAAGGCUCGGCUAGAAGAUGGACAUUAUACCUUAAUGAGGCGUAAGUGAACGCAUUGAUGAUGCGGAGUAUGAGGUGGCUAUUAAUGGCAAAACGGUGAAGGGCAAGCAAGGCUCGGCUACAAUGGACCAUGUGUGGGGUGAAGGGCAAGCAAGAGGCUUGGCGCCGAUGGACCGAAUCCGGUGGUGAAGGGCGAGUGAAGGCUUUGUCAUGAUGGUCAUGAUGGACCGUGCGAGGCCAUUUGAAGCUAUGAGUAAUCCGUAUCAAUUAUAAGAAGACCGCAAGAUGGAAUGUCGAGGAUCAAGAGGAUGUGGUUCUUCGAUGAACAUCAAGUCAAAAUCCAAAGUGGGCAUUGAUCAAAGCAAAGGUAUAAUUGAUUUGGGACUAAUAUGCUUAAUGAGUGUAGGUGAGAAUAGUCCCAAUAGCGAACUGGCGUUGACGUUGACAACCCUCAAGGUGAAGCAAGAAGAUGACAUUCUUAGUGGUGUAUUAGUCCCAGGUUGCUUAGGAGUGGGCUAGGAUGCUUGGAGACCCCCCAAAACAAAGCGGCAAGAAGACUUGGAGCCGAGUUAGACUAGUUUACCUUUUC